CAUAUGAACACCUCCAGCUCUGCGAGUUCGUCGAGUCACUGCCUACCACUAAAUCCCAGGAGAUUCUUGGGGAUGGAAUCAGUUAUGCAACUGAAAAUGCGAGGUGGAGACUAAGAGCCCCUGGUAGCUGACCUGAUGCUGGCCCUCAGGAACAGAGGCUCACAUGGUAACUACCACAAGGGCUGGCACAGCAAGAUACGUCACCAAAGCUUCUG